UACGUAGGGUCCGAGCGUUGUCCGGAAUUACUGGGCGUAAAGAGCUCGUAGGUGGUUUGUCGCGUUGUUCGUGAAAACUCACAGCUUAACUGUGGGCGUGCGGGCGAUACGGGCAGACUAGAGUGAUGUAGGGGAGACUGGAAUUCCUGGUGUAGCGGUGAAAUGCGCAGAUAUCAGGAGGAACACCCGUGGCUAAGGCGGCUCUCUAGUACGGUACUGACGCUGAGACGCGAAAGCGUGGGGAGCGAACAGG
rnacentral:rRNA from 1 species